CGGAGAGUUUGAUCCUGGCUCAGAUUGAACGCUGGCGGCAUGCCUUACACAUGCAAGUCGAACGGCAGCACGGAGCUUGCUCUGGUGGCGAGUGGCGAACGGGUGAGUAAUAUAUCGGAACGUACCCUAGAGUGGGGGAUAACGUAGCGAAAGUUACGCUAAUACCGCAUACGAUCUAAGGAUGAAAGUGGGGGAUCGCAAGACCUCAUGCUCGUGGAGCGGCCGAUAUCUGAUUAGCUAGUUGGUAGGGUAAAAGCCUACCAAGGCAUCGAUCAGUAGCUGGUCUGAGAGGACGACCAGCCACACUGGAACUGAGACACGGUCCAGACUCCUACGGGAGGCAGCAGUGGGGAAUUUUGGACAAUGGGCGAAAGCCUGAUCCAGCAAUGCCGCGUGAGUGAAGAAGGCCUUCGGGUUGUAAAGCUCUUUUGUCAGGGAAGAAACGGUGAAAGCUAAUAUCUUUUGCUAAUGACGGUACCUGAGGAAUAAGCACCGGCUAACUACGUGCCAGCAGCCGCGGUAAUACGUAGGGUGCAAGCGUUAAUCGGAAUUACUGGGCGUAAAGCGUGCGCAGGCGGUUUUGUAAGUCUGAUGUGAAAUCCCCGGGCUCAACCUGGGAAUUGCAUUGGAGACUGCAAGGCU
rnacentral:rRNA from 1 species